UACGUAGGGUGCGAGCGUUAAUCGGAAUUACUGGGCGUAAAGUGUGCGCAGGCGGCCAUGCAAGUCGAGUGUGAAAGCCCCGGGCUUAACUUGGGAAUUGCGCUCGAAACUACGUGGCUGGAGUGUGGCAGAGGGGGAUGGAAUUCCGCGUGUAGCAGUGAAAUGCGUAGAUAUGCGGAGGAACACCGAUGGCGAAGGCAAUCCCCUGGGCCUGCACUGACGCUCAUGCACGAAAGCGUGGGGAGCAAACAGG
rnacentral:rRNA from 1 species